rnacentral:rRNA from 1 species
AGAGUUUGAUCCUGGCUCAGGAUGAACGCUGGCGGCGUGCCUAAUACAUGCAAGUCGAGCGAACAGAUAAGGAGCUUGCUCCUUUGAAGUUAGCGGCGGACGGGUGAGUAACACGUGGGUAACCUACCUAUAAGACUGGGAUAACUUCGGGAAACCGGAGCUAAUACCGGAUAACAUUUAGAACCGCAUGGUUCUAAAGUGAAAGAUGGUUUUGCUAUCACUUAUAGAUGGACCCGCGCCGUAUUAGCUAGUUGGUAAGGUAACGGCUUACCAAGGCGACGAUACGUAGCCGACCUGAGAGGGUGAUCGGCCACACUGGAACUGAGACACGGUCCAGACUCCUACGGGAGGCAGCAGUAGGGAAUCUUCCGCAAUGGGCGAAAGCCUGACGGAGCAACGCCGCGUGAGUGAUGAAGGGUUUCGGCUCGUAAAACUCUGUUACUAGGGAAGAACAAAUGUGUAAGUAACUGUGCACAUCUUGACGGUACCUAAUCAGAAAGCCACGGCUAACUACGUG